rnacentral:rRNA from 1 species
UUCCGGUUGAUCCUGCCGGAGGUCAUUGCUAUCGGAGUCCGAUUUAGCCAUGCUAGUCGUGCGAGUUCACACUCGCGGCACCGAGCUCAGUAACACGUGGCCAAACUACCCUACAGAGACGGAUACCCUCGGGAAACUGAGGCUAACCCGUCAUACCGAUCUCAGGCUUGAACUGCAGAGAUCACUAAAUGCCCCGGCGCUGUAGGAUGUGGCUGCGGUUGAUUAGGUUGACGGUGGGGUAACGGCCCACCGUGCCCAUAAUCAGUACAGGUUGUGAGAGCAAGAACCUGGAGACGGAAUCUGAGACAAGAUUCCGGGCCCUACGGGGCGCAGCAGGCGCGAAACCUUUACACUGCACGCACGUGCGAUAAGGGGACUCCGAGUGCGAGGGCAUAUCGUCCUCGCUUUCGUGUACCGUAGGGUGGUACACCAACAAGGGCUGGGCAAGACCGGUGCCAGCCGCCGCGGUAAUACCGGCAGCCCGAGUGAUGACCGAUCUUAUUGGGCCUAAAGCGUCCGUAGCUGGCUGCGCAAGUCCGUCGGGAAAUCCACUCGCUCAACGAGUGGGCGUCCGACGGAAACUGCACAGCUUGGGACCGGAAGGCCCGAAGGGUACGUGCGGGGUAGGAGUGAAAUCCCAUAAUCCCGCACGGACCACCGAUGGCGAAAGCACUUCGAGAAAACGGAUCCGACAGUGAGGGACGAAAGCCAGGGUCUCCAACCGGAUUAGAUACCCGGGUAGUCCUGGCCGUAAACAAUGUUCGCUAGGUAUGACACAGACUAC